rnacentral:tRNA from 8 species
GGCGGAUGUAGCCAAGUGGAUAAAGGCAGUGGAUUGU